GGAUCUCUACUACCUUGCUCAUUUGCUCAUUAUCUCAUUAUCCUUGGAAAAGCUGAACAAAAUGAGUGAAAAUUCAAUACCACCUCUCUCAUCGGGACUGAGGUCC
rnacentral:snoRNA from 1 species